UUCUAGGCCUUGUUGAUGGAAACCGACAAGAGACCAAGGGAAACGAAGACCGAGAAGGAGACAGAAAAGGGGCUGGCUUUGGUUUGGUUUGGUUUGGAUAUUUGACCCAGUUUGUUUGAUAGCAGCUGGAAGAGGGGUUGUUUGAAUUGAACUCACAUUUGGGAAUACACGAUACUAUACCAUGGAUAGAUAGAUAAUAGAUAUGGCGCAUGGGGACCAAUCCAGAACAAGAAUAAAACCUUAUCCCUAAAGCCCCAAUACUUGCUGCUCUUUCUCCAUUCACUAAGCAGACUCGGAGAAAAGUUGCUGCAUGAAUCAAAACAACAACCUUAGAAGGAAAGAGUGAGAUUUAAUACUAUUGGCUUCUUCUCUGGGGUCCUCCUAAUAGCUUCAUACAUACAACACAGAAAAUACAGCGAACCCUAGAACCAUAUUUGUAAUAUGAAUCAACACUUCUGCUGCUGCUCUCGCUUUGCUUAGCUACAGUCAGAUCUAAAAGAGAAACGGAUGACUAACAAACAUCCCACCAAGGCGGGAGAGGGAAACCUGCGGAUACGUGGUAUGAAGGUGUGACGAAAACAAUAUUAGGAUGACAAGAAAGGUAGUUGCGUGAUGGGUUUCAUAGUUGUUUC
rnacentral:lncRNA from 1 species